GGAUGAGCCCGCGGCCUAUCAGCUUGUUGGUGGGGUAAUGGCCUACCAAGGCGGCGACGGGUAGCCGGCCUGAGAGGGUGUACGGCCACAUUGGGACUGAGAUACGGCCCAGACUCCUACGGGAGGCAGCAGUGGGGAAUAUUGCACAAUGGGCGCAAGCCUGAUGCAGCGACGCCGCGUGGGGGAUGAAGGCCUUCGGGUUGUAAACUCCUUUCGCUAGGGACGAAGCUUUGUUGUGACGGUACCUAGAUAAGAAGCACCGGCUAACUACGUGCCAGCGGCCGGGGUAAUACGUAGGGUGCGAGCG
rnacentral:rRNA from 1 species